GUUGGAUCGAUCAAGCAGAAGGAGAACAAGGUGAAACCCUUGUUCUCCAAAUUCAGCAAAUUGAAGAGGAAAUUCAACAAUAAUCCAAUGCAUGAACUUCGAUUUACACUCAUCUAAACUCGAUUAUUGAAGUGGCGUGAAGGAAGAAGGUACAAGCACUAGGAAAACGGAAGGCACGCAAGACCGAGGUAAAACUCCACUUUAGGCGAUUUGCAGAUAUGGAGCGAGCACGUGUUCAUGCCUUAUUAUACCAAGCGCUUCUGCUAGUUUAUAUGCACACUUUUUGGGUCCAUGUCUUGUUACUUUGUUCGAUCUUGUUAGAAGUCAUACACUG